rnacentral:rRNA from 1 species
CCUACGGGGGGCAGCAGUGGGGAAUAUUGCACAAUGGGGGAAACCCUGAUGCAGCAACGCCGCGUGAGCGAUGAAGGCCUUCGGGUCGUAAAGCUCUGUCCUAAGGGAAGAAUACAGACGGUACCUUAGGAGGAAGCCCCGGCUAACUACGUGCCAGCAGCCGCGGUAAUACGUAGGGGGCUAGCGUUAUCCGGAAUUACUGGGCGUAAAAGGUGCGUAGGCGGCCCUUCAAGUCAGAGGUGAAAGGCUACGGCUCAACCGUAGUAAGCCUUUGAAACUGUAGGGCUUGAGUGCAGGAGAGGAUAGUGGAGUUCCCGGUGUAGCGGUGUAAAGCGUAGGUAUUGGGCGGAACCCCAGUUUCGAAGGCGGCUCUGUGGACUGUAACUAACGCUGGGGCCCGCAAGCUUGGGGAGCAAACAGGAGUAGAUUCCCCCGUAGUC